GCAAAACAUUAGACGCAUAACUACAAAUUAGAGGAGGAGCUCGCCCGAAAAUCGCCAAUUUUAACUAAAGAAUGUAUAAAAAAGCUAAUUCGCCACAAUCUGCUGGAAAAUCAAUCUUAACAGUAAUAUGCUCCACUUUUACGAUAUUGAAAACCCAUUUGGAAUAAACAAUUUUUCGUAGAUAAUAAUUUUUGUGAAAUUGCUUCUUAUAAGUCACUUACAUAUUUACUGUUAUAUUAUAAGUAGCAGAAUUGAGCAUACGUAGCUGGAGCGUGUCCACUGAGCGUGUGCACUAUGCCGAAAAUAAAGGAAAAAUAUGCGCUGCAGGCAAAUUAAGGCAACACAGCUCAAAGUUCGGCAAAUGCUUGCAACAAAGCAUAAGCGGCACGCAAGCAACAACAGCAAUGCAUACACAUUGAAAAAAAAUUUAUUUGAAACCAGUUUUGAUCGACUACAAAAAUUUCGGUACUCUUGGCUAUGGCUGCGGCUGGACCAGAGGACACAGUGGUUAAAUGUGCAUGCAAUAGAAAAAAUUAAAUAAAAAUAAUUGUAGUUAACUGCACCGCAUAGUCGUUAGUGAAUAUAUUUUUUCGUUUGAAAAAAUAUAUAUGUAUAUACUUGUGUGUUUGUAGCAAGCAAUGGCCUAAUAGCCUAUAUAACGACAGCAAAUCGAAAAAGCACUAACUAUU